AAGUCGUAACAAGGUUUCCGUAGGUGAACCUGCGGAAGGAUCAUUACUAGUGUCUCACGGUGACGCGCCCCCGGGUGCCCCUCCCGCGAUUCCCACCCGUGUCUACCUACUCUUGUUGCUUUGGCAGGCCGUGGCCUCCACUGCGGGCUCUGCUCGUACGUGCCUGCCAGAGGACUCAACUCUGUAUGUUAGUGAUGUCUGAGUACUAUACAAUAGUUAAAACUUUCAACAACGGAUCUCUUGGUUCUG
rnacentral:misc_RNA from 1 species